rnacentral:rRNA from 1 species
CAGCAGCCGCGGUAAUACGUAGAUGGCAAGCGUUGUCCGGAAUUAUUGGGCGUAAAGGGCUCGCAGGCGGUUUCUUAAGUCUGAUGUGAAAGCCCCCGGCUCAACCGGGGAGGGUCAUUGGAAACUGGGAAACUUGAGUGCAGAAGAGGAGAGUGGAAUUCCACGUGUAGCGGCGAAAUGCGUAGAGAUGUGGAGGAACACCAGUGGCGAAGGCGACUCUCUGGUCUGUAACUGACGCUGAGGAGCGAAAGCGUGGGGAGCGAACAGGAUUAGAGACCCCCGUAGUCCCUGUCUCUUAUAC